GUCACCCCCUGCCCAGGGCAACCUCAUGCCACAGAGCAUCCUCCACAGGGCUGUGCCUUAUUUUGCUGGCAGUGACAAAAGGCUUGGAAAAAGGCUUCGUUUAAGUGGUUGUCUUUCAGAGACAUUUUUGCAUUCGGGUGGGUUGCCUUUCCCAUGAGGGGUGCAGGAACAAGAUUUCAAAGCCUUUGUAAAUAUGACAAUUUCAAAGGUUACUGGCUUUAGAUACCCCUUUUAAACUCCUAAAUUCCCAGUCUUUGAGAGCACAUAAGUGAUUUAAGACCUUAUGUCUGAGGGCUUUGGCAGGAGUAAGUUCCAGAGCUCCUAAGUCACUUCUCUUAAAUAAAGCUUUACUCCCUCAGGAUCUUUCAAUAUGUUAUCCUCACUUCUGUAUUCAACUUCGGAUGACAAAAUCUUCAGAAAUAUUUGGAUUCCCACAGAGGCUGGGUAAGAACGAGUUUAUUUAUUCAGCCCUGCUUUGCUUCAUCAAAGAGACCCCAGCCAGGAGAAGUUGGAGGGCCCCAUUCAUUAUGUUUUGCCCAGCCUGAGAGGUACUCCUGCCUGCAGUAGCGAUGCUCUGCAGGGAAAUGCAAACUUGCCAAGCUUUACUUACCUCAACCCAGCAUGUGGUACAGCACGCUGAUAGAUGCACGGGUCUGACACGCUUUGGAGACCAGCCAGGGGAGACAUAUUGCCUGGCAGAAGCAGGACACAUGUUCCCCCCUGCACUGCAUGUGAUUUAUGUGCCAGGUCAGCGCCCAAGCAGGGUGCUUUGCCAAGAUGGGUACUGGGGUGCCAGUCCCUGGGAGGCCAGUCCUUCACACAGCCACGGCUCCUUCUUGCAUGGGAAGAGGGCAAGAGCUGAGCCUGCAGCCACGCCAAAGCCUCUUUGUAGACACCUGUACCGACAAGCCAAGGUGGUGUUACGUUUUUCUAUACAGGGGUCCAUGCAAGCCAAUGGCCGGGCUGUUGGUUUGCUGUGCCACUGUGCGUCUGGGUGGGAUCCCCAGGCUUCUGGGAGAGCCUGAAUUUGUGUGGUUAGAGAAGCUGAGCCCACAAGCUGACACUGUGCCUCCCACCAACGAAAAAAAACCACCCCAACAUCCCUUUAAAACUGAUAUUUCAGGCCUCCAUAAAGAAACUGAUAAGGAGGUCAGAAUUAGCAGGAUUAUUUUGUUUGGAGGUUUUCCACUAGGGUUGAGGAACUUUGUAUGGGGCGGACUCAGGACUUCGGCAUCUCUGUUAAGAUCAAAUCUCAGUUUUGGAUUUUCAGUCAAGUAGUGCUGGGGUGGGGCGAGAGGCAGACACACAGGGUUAGGUGCCGCAGCUGGGCACCAUUUCCCCGCGCAGUGCUGCCAUUUGAAAAGGGGUGAGCAGAGAGAAAACUAUGCUGAAACUGCUCUGAAAAUGAUAAUUUCUGCAAAUUCACCUGCAAGAAGCAAACCCUUUCAAGGGCUUCAUUUGAGAAAUAAAUGUUUUUCCUUUAAGAGGCUUUUAAAGAAAGUGCCCUCUUGAAAGAAAAGUAAAGAAAUCCUGGUGAUUCAUCUGAGCAGAGUGCAGCAUAUACUCAGCAAAAGCAAGAAAGAAAGGAAUGAAAGUGUGAGCAGAACCUUGAUUAUUGGUGAUGGAGGGGCAUUAGCCAAGUUAUAAUGGAUUGUCAAACUAGGUUCGUGUUUGUAUAACCUCCCAAGUUCCUUGCACUGAGUCAACAUUUAGCCAUCUGGUUUGGGGGGUGGGGAGAGACAUUUUGUUAAAAAAAAAAUGUAAAAAUCAGUUAAAUUUAUGUUUAUGUUCUGACGGAAGAAAUGUUUUAAAGGAAAACAUACCUUUCAGAGUGAAGCAUUUGUUUUUGUUCUUCACAAGUGCUUGUUUGAGUUCAUGUUUGUUAAAUGGCUUGUAGUUAUUAAAUCAUGGAGGUUUCCCCUGCUAACAUAAAAAUAGGUGUGAUUGGAAAAUUUGUAGCAGGAAAAUAAAACUGCCUUUCACCCACUUGGACUUCACUUGACUUGGUGAGAUAUUUGUAAACCCUGAUUGACUUAAAAGCACAUUUCUUUAGGAAAGAAGUACAAUUAAGACAGAAAUUUGCCAGGAAGAUACGUAGAAGCUGCAGCAAUAACACCAUGAAUUGUGUGUCCACCCAAGGACACAGCUAUCCUCAAGCGGUGGUGCUUAUCAAUGAGGGAAACAAAACAUUUGAGUAUGAAAGCAAGAACAGCCUGGAAAACAAAGAGGAAAAAGAAGAGCCUGGUGAAACACUGCACUCAUAAAACAAAAAAAGAAGAAACAUUUAAAGAAAUGCAUAACUUGAAAGAAUAUGAAUCAUGCAGAGGUCAAAAAUCAAGGUAAUUUUCUUGACACAGAAUAUUUUACUGUAGGACUCAUGGACCGCUUACCCUCAGUAGUAUGAAAAUCUUCUCAUUGCCCUUAGGCUGUUGUGUCGUGAAAGGCUGCCGUGUAACAUAUGCCUCCUGCUUCCUGAUUUCUCCACGGGGCAAUCCAAAAUAACUUUUCCAAAAUGUCCUUGAAAAUUUAGAAUGCUCCCUUUUCAUUGUCACAGUUCUUUGGAGUCACUAGUCAUCUGUCGCCUUGGUAAAUCUCUGUCCCUCCCCUAUAUUGAUAAAUUAUCAGUGCUUGGCAUGAAAGUACAGCUUAACUGUUACCCGGAUGUUAGACUUCAGUAUAAGGCUGUGGGAAAGGAAAGGAGUUAUGUUCUGGAGACGGAGUAAAAAAUAAGGAAUAGAAAAUGCUUUGACUUUUGACAUUAUCUAUAUUACAUAGCAAUAUUCAUGUUUUUCGACUGUUUGCUGUACAGUGAAAAUGAAGCCCCUUUUAAGUGGACAAAGGAUCUUGAGUUAUUUAAAGUCAAAGUCUGUUAGAAACAAAACUGGCAGCAAGCAGCCUGACAGUAAAUUAUGCAGCUGAUAAUGAGGAGGAUGCAUCUAGUUUUCCUUCUCUGAAAGCUAACCAAUGCAAACUGAUAUGCUAUUUUAGCCACUAAAGGCUUGUCUAACCAUGGGGUUAUCAUAGAAUUAUUCCUAUUUUUGUUUCAAGCUGUACCUUCUUCUGAAACAGACGUAUAUGUAGAUGGGUUUUAUUGACUAGAGGUACUUAAAACCAGAUCCAUCAGUCCUUCAGUGCUCAGCAUCUCUACACCUGACUUUUAAGCUCCUAGCACUGGGAACAGAAAAGAGAAAUCCAUCUUAGAAACCUAAGUUUCUUAUCCAGUGAAUAAGCAGAAAUCAGUGUGUAAGAAUGGGAGAAACUAUUGCAAAAUCUUGACCAUAAAUGCCAGUAAUGAAAAUUGCAAAGAACUACGAAGAACUAUAAAUACAAAAUAUGUAGUAGAUGGAAAACAGAGAUACUCUGUAGACAUAUCCAGAAGGCUUAGAUUUUGGAACAGACUUUGCUGGGAAGUAGCCGAAUUGCUGUCACUGAGGUCUUUCAAGAAGAGAUUAGACAGAAUCUAGAAAGGACAGUCUGGGCACAUUGGAGCUCGAUUCAGAACAAGACAGUGCAUACUUGGUGGGAUGAAAUCAUAGAAAUUUUGUGCUGGAAAAGAUUUCAGAAGAUUAAUUUCUUUGGUCCUGCUAUGAACAUAUUGACAACACAGUAACAGUAAGGACUGGAUGUAGACAUCUUCUGAAUGCACGGAUAAUAGAAAUGAGUGAUUGAUUAAAAAUAUUUGUGUCAUAUAUGAAACCAGACUUAGGUAUUUGGUUUUCUUCUGAGCUAAAAGACUAAUACACUGUGUGUAUGUAUCUUCUGUACACCUCUGUAUACCUUUGCUGUACCAGUCAGUGUGACUUUUGGUGUCUCUAAAUUGAGAAGGACAACACUGUCUUGCUGAACUAUUAUGUAAACAAGAAAUAUUAACAUGCAUUAAAAAAUUUACCAACCUUAUGCCUAUAGAAAUGUAAUUGCAGGCUAGACUGUCCUCAGCUAGUU